AUUAUUAAUCAUAUAUUAUAUUAAGUUAUUUGAUUAAUUGGAAGCAAAUAAUGAUGAUAGGGAAAUAAGAUGGCUCAAAUACACGUAGGAUAUACAUUAUAGGCUGACAUUAAUUCAUAUGUAAAUUAAUCAUGAAUUUUUGUUUAUCAUUUCAUAAAAAUAUAGAUGUCAAUCGAUUUCAAAACUAGACAAAACAUGAUGUUGACCCUUAUAGACCAUUAGGGCCAUGUACAAUUUAUCACCAUAUGGUUAUUAAAUGUACAUACCCAAUAUACCAAUAAUACAAAACAGUUAACUUAGGUAGCCAGAAGGUGCCAAAAUAUAUCUUUAUAUAUAUAGGACCUAAAUUAGCAUAUACAUAUGGUAUAUUCAUAAGAAGAAAAAAAGAGCAAAUCAAAGAGUACAAGUCUAAAUAUUAUUUCAAGAUGGUUGCUACACAAAACAAACACAUUCUUGUGAUUAUUUUUCUCAUUUGCUUCUUCUCAAUUCAUAUUCAAGUUAGAGCAAGAGUAUUAAAAGAAAGAAGCAACCAAAGUGGUGAAGAUGCCAACAAAGCCCAACAUAAGGAAGUACAUGUUGACAUGUUUAAGCUAAAA